GUAGGUAGGCUCACCUAGGCGACGAUCCCUAGCUGGUCUGAGAGGAUGACCAGCCACACUGGAACUGAGACACGGUCCAGACUCCUACGGGAGGCAGCAUG
rnacentral:rRNA from 1 species